GAUGAACGCUGGCGGCGUGCCUAAUACAUGCAAGUCGAGCGAACGGACGAGAAGCUUGCUUCUCUGAUGUUAGCGGCGGACGGGUGAGUAACACGUGGAUAAUCUACCUAUAAGACUGGGAUAACUUCGGGAAACCGGAUCUAAUACCGGAUAAUAUUUUGAACCGCAUUGUUCAAAAGUGAAAGACGGUCUUGCUGUCACUUAUAGCUGGAUCCGCGCUGCAUUAGCUAGUUGGUAAGGUAACGGCUUACCAAGGCAACGAUGCAUAGCCGACCUGAGAGGGGGAUCGGCCACACUGGAGCUGGAACACGGUCCAGGCUCCUACGGGAGGCAGCAGUAGGGAAUCUUACGCAAUGGGCGAAAGCCUGACGGAGCAACGCCGCGUGAGUGAUGAAGGUCUUCGGAUCGUAAAACUCUGUUAUUAGGGAAGAACAUAUGUGUAAGUAACUGUGCACAUCUUGACGGUACCUAAUCAGAAAGCCACGGCUAACUACGUG
rnacentral:rRNA from 1 species